UUGUUGGCUGUGAUUCUUUACUGCUUUUUCCAGGUCAGAACCACAGUGUUGUGCUAUAAUCUCUGUCUGCUCUUCAUUUUCUAUUUCUGUAGAUUAAUAUGAAAGAUUCUUCACUUGAUUGUUCUGGAGACUGUUGAUUAUCGCUUUGCUCUGUCUUUAGGCUGGGACUGGUCCAUGUGUUGAAUAAGGUGAUAUAUGCAUUUAAAAUUCCCUUUGAAGCCUAGAAUCAUGAUUGUCUUUAUUUGCCUCAGGUUCUCAAUCCACUUUUCUUCAGCCUUUUUCCUCUGAACUUAGCAGAAUCAGGACCCCAGAGUCAAAUUUUACAAUGAUGUUAGUUUCCAAAAUAUGCCUCUUUUUCAUUCUUUCAGCUGAUACUGUUUUCUCAGAGUUACAUGGCGGGUGUCACAAAUAUGUCUGAAUAGAUAUAUUCAGAUAGAUUUCUUCCUUCUGCUCAUCAUCACUGCUUUUCUGUCAAGCAUCUUCUGGGAGAGUAUCGUCACCCCAUUUAAGUGUGGAGGAUGGAAACAAAAUAUUUUGGCGUGGAAAACUCUGA
rnacentral:lncRNA from 1 species